CCUGUACAAAGCAUUAAUUGUUUGCACUGCUUCAAUUCUUGAAGUGGGAUUUGUUUUUUUACUAAGCUUGGAUAUUUUGUUUCCACAUCGGAGCAUCACUCGGGAAG